CAGCCGCCACGGGAAUACGUAGGUGGCGAGCAUUGUCCGGAAUUAUUGGGCGUAAAGGGAGCGCAGGCGGGCGAGUAAGUCUUUCUUAAAAGUGCGGGGCUCAGCCCCGUGAGGGGAGAGAAACUACUCAUCUUGAGUGCAGGAGAGGAAAGCGGAAUUCCUAGUGUAGCGGUGAAAUGCGUAGAUAUUGGGAGGAACACCGGCGGCGAAGGCGGCUUACUGGACGACAACUGACGUUGAGGCUCGAAGGCGUGGGUAGCAAACAGGAUUAGAUACCCGAGUAGUCCCUGUCUCUUAUACA
rnacentral:rRNA from 1 species